rnacentral:lncRNA from 1 species
AUAUACUUCUCCUUAUCAGCACGUUCUUAAUUUCUUUAAUUUAAUUAUUCUAACUAAUUAAAUUUUAAGGUUUUAAGUGCCCGUCGGCACGGGCCGUAUCCACCGUGCCGUACCGUGCCAACAAGAUACCGGCACGAUACAGACCCCGUGCCAAUGGCACAGUUCAAAACCCUUUAUUUUUUAAAUUAGCAAACAAUUUUUUCAAUAAAGUUCAAAAGAUGUGAUAAAAAGACAUAAUAAAUAGUUUGAAUAUUUUGUUGCUAAAGAAAAUAAAUAUUUCAUGCUAUUAUGUGUCGGCAUGCAAGAAUUUUUUUGACCGGCACGCAUCGGCACGGCUCGGCACGCACCGUGCCGUACCGUGCCAGCAAGUUUCCGGCACAACCCCGUGCCACGGCACUUUAAUCCUUGUUAAAUUUAAAAAAAAUCAGCCACUGCCAUUUAAUUAUUCUGACUAAUUAAUUUUUUUUAAAAAAAAACAGCCACUACACAUUCGUGUGGUGGUCUUCAUUUCACGUUUUACUUUUCUUGUUUAAGAUUUACUUUGCCUAUCGUUUGUAUGGUUUAUGUAGUAAUCAAAUUCGCCAUUCGCAAGUCAGCUCGUGUUCGACUCGUAAUGAGUUUGAGAUCAAAUCGCUUGUUGAGUAAACGAGCCAAACACAAGUUAGGAUCAGCUCGCUCAUAUUCGGCUCGAUAACAGCUUGAAUAUAUACAUAUAUUUUAUAUUUAUAUAAUAUAUUUAAUUUAUAUUUAUAUAAAUAAAUAAAUAAUUAUAUAUAAUAAAUAUUUUUAUUAUUUGAUUUUUAACAAAAUAAAAAUAUAAAGACGAACUCAAUAAUAAAAAAACUUAUUUAUAUGUAAAGUUUCGACCAUUAGAUCAAAAUCUAAUGGAUAAGAUUAAUUUAUAAAUUUAUUAUAUAUAUAUAUAUAUAUAUAUAUAUAUUCAAAAUAAUUCUUUUAACUUAUUGUUUGUUGGCCAGCUUGUGUUCGACUCAUUUAUUAAUCAGUCGAAUAUAAGCUAUAUUUUUCGGCUCAAUGCUUUAACAGAUCAGUUCAUGUUCGGCUCGUUAACACCCCUAGUUUACGUAGAUAUAUAUUAU